CUGCUCUUUAUUUGGGAUAAAGUCGGCAAAACGCAUUGGUAGCGCGACAAGCAAAGGGUCAAAUCUACACCAAGUGCUUCUGGAACUGUGCUGUGAUUGUGUACUGAAAAGUAGACUCUGAACGGACAGCCGGUUUUUCACCUGUAAAUGCCUGGCUUGAGGAAAGCGAAGAUAAAAUAAAAAAGG